AUUAAGAAGCCUCACAGAGUUGAUAGAUUGAAAUCUGAUUUAGACUAAUUGUCUUAAGUUGAUAGAUUGAAAUCAGAUUCAAAUUAACUGACUGUCUUUAGUUAAGAGACUGAAAUUUGAUUCAAAUAAACUGUCUUCUUUAUUUGACAGACUGACAUUUCAUUCAAACAAAUUAUCUAUACUUAAUAGACUGAAAUCUGAUUCAGACAAAUUGUCUUCGGUGAAUAGACUGAAAUCUGAUUCAAACAAAUUGUCUUGGGUGAAUAGACUGAAAUCUGAUUCAAACAAAUUGUCUUCGGUGAAUAGACUGAAAUCUGAUUCAAACAAAUUGUCUUUAAUUAAUAGAUUGAAAUCUGGGUGUGAUGAUGGUUGUAAAGAUAAGAAAACAGCAGAUAUGAGUUGCAUGUGGUUCUUUGAUAUCUGUUGAUCAUCAUUGGUUGUCUUUUCAAUUCUCUUUAUUGGUUGAAAAAUACUCAAAACUGUAAAUUUCAGAGUAGAAACUGUUGCAAUUUCAACCGAAAACAAUUUGUUUAAAUAUAAGGCAUACGUUCAUCCCUUGUAAAUACAGCUAAUUUGACAAAAAUAUUUUUCAACCAUGGAACCGUGAUUCCCAAUCCAGAUACAGUAGUUGCUUGUCUUUUAUCUACUUCAUGCAUAUGUGGUACCAAAUUAAAGGGGAUAGGUGAACAUAUGCUUGGAAGACAAAAAGAGAGAAACAUUUUGUCUCAGAACACAAAAAAUAUAGUUAAAACAUUUUUGGUCUUCUCUUUAACAUUAGUAGUCUCUUAUGGGAUAACAUGUUCUGUCUUUUUUUAAUCUGCAAUAUUAACAUUAGUUGUCUUUUCAUUUUGAACUUUUCUUUAAUCUGGUUGUUCUAAAUAUUAAAUUUGUUUUGCUCUGUUUUGCAUUGGCAAGUGAUAAUCAAUCAAUAAAAGAACUUUAUGAUGUGAAGAAUGCCCCUUUUGAAACCAUUUAUCUAACUUGUUGGGGAGCCAUUAAAUAUUGAAUUAAAAUAUUUUUGCAGAUCUGAUUCUUGAUCAGAAUGCCACCUCAAAAAGACUUUGCAUGGACACAUUGCACAACAAUUCCUGGUAGCACGAAGGUCAAGUGCAAUUGGUGUUUAGAAGAGAUUAGUGGUGGAAUUUAUCGUUUCAAAUGGCAUUUGUCCAAAGAACGAGGAAAUAACACCGUGAUAUGCAAAGCAUGCUCUGCAGAUGUCUCGUAUCAGGCAAAACAAUCUCUUGACGGGAUUGCUGAGAGUAAGGCCAAAAAGGCAAGAAUUGGGGUUGGACUAGGUUCUAGUUCUGCAAAUCCCAGAACGAACCAUUUGGGUGAGGAGGAUGGCGAAGAUGGGAGUUUUAGGGAAUGUGGGUCAACACCUAAUUCUGUAGCACGUGGCUCAAACACAGGUGGAGGAAACAUUAAUACUUUCUUCCAACCUCGUACUACACCAGGAUCACAAACCACUUUGGAGAGUACAGGAUGGAGGAAAACUGUCACUGAACAAGCAAACAAGGCAAUUGGUAAUUUUUGGUACUCCUCUCACAUGGCAUUCCAUGCUUCCAGAAAUCCAUAUUGGCAACCCAUGGUAGAUGCUAUUGCAGCUGUAGGACUUGGGUUUCAAGCCCCAUCUUAUGAGUCAUUGAGGGUUGGUAUGCUGAAAGAUGCAAUAGAGGAUGUUCAAGAUAUUGUUAAACAACAUCGGUUACAGUGGGCUAGAACUAGUUGCAUUAUCAUGUCAGAUGGUUGGACAGAUAGAAGGAACCGAACUCUCAUUAACUUCCUUGUCUCUUGUGAGAUUGGCAUUGUUUUUCUGAAAUCUGUGGAUGCAUCCACAAAUGCAUUGUUUGAGAUGUAUGAUGUGGUAGUUACGGAUGUAGGGCCACAAAAUGUGGUUUAAUUUAUCACAGACAAUGCUGCUGCUCGUGUUGCUGCAGGGAGACUUCUGACAGAUAAAUACCCUUCCAUGUUUUUUACACUAUGUGCAGCACAUCGCCUUGAUCUAACCCUAGAGGACAUUGGAAAAAAUGAGUGGGUUAAGGCGGCAUUUCAAAAGGCUCACAAGGUUACCAAAUUUGUUUAUAAUCACACGAGGGUUUUAGCUAUAAUGCACUCUUUCACAGGAGGCAAUGAGCUAGUUCGACCAGGGGUGACAAGAUUUGCAACAUAUUUCCUUGCAUUACAAACAUUAUGUGAACAAAAAGGUAAUUUGAGGCGAAUGUUUGUUUCAGUUGAGUGGAUGGAGUUUAACUUCACAACUCAAGCAAAUGGCAUAGCAAUGGCAGAGUAUAUGUAUUCUACCACCUUUUGGGAAUCUAUUUAACAUAUUGUAGAAUUUUUAGAACCUUUAGUAAAAGUCUUGAGACUAGUGGAUGGGGAAAAACCCCCCAUGGGAUGUGUAUGAGGCCAUGGAUAGGGGCAAGGAGGUGAUAAGGAGUAAGAUGGAAAAUAACAGGGACAGGUAUAUGCCAUUGUGGGACAUAACUGAUAGGAGAUGGGAUGGGCAAAUGCACACUCCUCUCCAUGCUACGGGAUACUUGCUCAAUCCCUUGUUAUUCUAUAAGACCGACUUCAUGGAAAUUGAUGCUGAGAUCAAACAAGGCUUCUUCAAGUGCAUGGAAAAAAUGUUUCCUGACUUGGAAAAAAUUGAUGCAACUACGAUAGAGUUGGAAGUGUACAAGAAUUCUAAGGGUUUUCUCUCUUCUAGGGCUGCUAUACAAAGCAGAAAGACCAUUCAACCAGCUGCAUGGUGGGCCUCUUUUGGAGACGAAAUAUCAAAUUUAAGGUGGAUGACAGUGCGCAUUUUGAGCCAACCAUGCAGCUCAUCAACUUGUGAGCGUAAGUGGAGUGUUUUUGAACACAUACAUUCCAAGAAACGCAACUGCCUAUCACAACAAUGGAUGAAUGACUUGGUAUCUGUUCAUCACAACCUCCGCUUGAAGAUAAGGAAAGCUCAAGGAACUAUUGAGGAUGGCUUGCCAAUUGACCUCGAUGAGAUAUAUCCAGAGUGUGAGUUGAUUGCUGCUAAUGUUGGUGUUGAUGAUGAUGAUGAUGAUGAUGUUGUUGCUGAUCGUCCAUUUGAGAUUGAAGAUUUUGAUAUCAUGAGGCAAGCCAACUUUGGUCCUCAAUGGGUUGAACGAAUUAGGAGAGACUUUCACCCGAGAGCUUCAUCAUCAGGGCCUCCUGCCCUCUAGCACGUCAUUGUCUACAUUUGAUAUUUUGGAAUUUUGUACUUAGUUUACAAGUUGACUUUGUUCAAAGUCACAAACUAUAUUGUAAUUGACAUUUUGACAUCUAUCACCAUCUAGAUAUUAUUUAUGGUGUUGUAUAUUUUGUGCAACGUAAUCAGUGAU